rnacentral:rRNA from 1 species
GACGAACGCUGGCGGCGUGCUUAACACAUGCAAGUCGAACGGUAAGGCCCUUCGGGGUACACGAGUGGCGAACGGGUGAGUAACACGUGGGUGAUCUGCCCUGCACUUCGGGAUAAGCCUGGGAAACUGGGUCUAAUACCGGAUAGGACCACUGCCUGCAUGGGUGGGGGUGGAAAGCUUCUGCGGUGUGGGAUGGGCCCGCGGCCUAUCAGCUUGUUGGUGGGGUGAGGGCCUACCAAGGCGACGACGGGUAGCCGGCCUGAGAGGGUGACCGGCCACACUGGUACUGAGAUACGGCCCAGACUCCUACGGGAGGCAGCAGUGGGGAAUAUUGCACAAUGGGCGCAAGCCUGAUGCAGCGACGCCGCGUGAGGGAUGACGGCCUUCGGGUUGUAAACCUCUUUCAGCAUCGACGAAGCGAAAGUGACGGUAGGUGCAGAAGAAGGACCGGCCAACUACGUGCCAGCCGCCGCCGUAA